rnacentral:rRNA from 1 species
AGUGAACGCUGGCGGUAGGCCUAACACAUGCAAGUCGGACGGCAGCACAGGAGAGCUUGCUCUCUGGGUGGCGAGUGGCGGACGGGUGAGGAAUACAUCGGAAUCUACCUUUUCGUGGGGGAUAACGUAGGGAAACUUACGCUAAUACCGCAUACGACCUACGGGUGAAAGUGGGGGACCGCAAGGCCUCACGCGAUUAGAUGAGCCGAGGUCCGAUUAGCUAGCUGGCGGGGUAAUGGCCCACCAAGGCGACGAUCGGUAGCUGGUCUGAGGGGUUAAUCAGCCACACUGGAACUGAGGCACGGUCCCGACUCCUGCGCGAGGCAGCAGUGGGGAAUAUUGGACAGUGGGAGCAAGCCUGAUCCAGCCAUACCGCGUGGGUGAAGAAGGCCUUCGGGUUGUAAAGCCCUUUUGUUGGGAAAGAAAUCCUGUCGAGUAAUACUCGGUGGGGAUGACGGUACCCAAAGAAUAAGCACCGGCUAACUACGUGCCAGCAGCCGCAGUAAAAC